CUGAUCGCCAAGAUCAUCUUGUUAUCAACGGCUUUGGUGAUUUUCUGCUGCAACAGAACGGCCAUGAAGAGCAAAGGUCUGCAGCUUUAUGUGUUUCUGUUUCUGUUAGUCAAGAUCACCUUGUUCUCAGCACCUUUGGUGAUUUUCUGCUGGAAGUGGAGAGCCGCCAUGAUAAACAAAGAUUCUGCUGUGGAAACUGAGUAUGAUGACGUCUCUCAGAUCAAUCCAGAACUAGAGGAAAUCAAAGAGGAGGACAGACAGAACAAUUCAUCUUCAGUUUAAUGCUGAACUAAACUCUGAAACCAUCAGAUGACAGACGAGAGCUUCACGUUUAAAAUAUGUUCAUGCACUGAAUGUCACAGAAGAAGUUUGAAAGAUGACCUAAUCAUUGUGCUGUAACUGUUUUUAUGAUAAACGUAUUUUCAUUCAUUUGUGUUCAGAUAAAACAACCGUUCAUAUGUCAUAUUGUUCAUUUGCAGUUUAACCAAUAACUACAUUAUAUAAGACUCUGCAGAAAUAUAUUUCAGACUUUGGCUAAAUAAACUGUCAUGUCUUUAAAUU